rnacentral:rRNA from 1 species
CAGCCGCCGCGGGAAUACGAAGGGUGCAAGCGUUAAUCGGAAUUACUGGGCGUAAAGCGUGCGUAGGCGGUUUGUUAAGUCUGUUGUGAAAUCCCCGGGCUCAACCUGGGAAUGGCAAUGGAUACUGGCAAGCUAGAGUGUGUCAGAGGAUGGUGGAAUUCCCGGUGUAGCGGUGAAAUGCGUAGAGAUCGGAAGGAACAUCAGUGGCGAAGGCGGCCAUCUGGGACAACACUGACGCUGAAGCACGAAAGCGUGGGGAGCAAACAGGAUUAGAUACCCCUGUAGUCCCUGUCUCUUAUAC